UACGUAGGUGGCAAGCGUUGUCCGGAUUUACUGGGCGUAAAGAGCGCGCAGGCGGUCGUGCAAGUCGCGUGUGAAAGCCCCCGGCUCAACUGGGGAGGGUCACGCGAUACUGCUCGACUCGAAGGCAGGAGAGGGAAGUGGAAUUCCCGGUGUAGUGGUGAAAUGCGUAGAUAUCAGGAGGAACACCGAUGGCGAAGGCAGGUCUCUGGGCCACUACUGACGCUGAGAAGCGAAAGCAUGGGGAGCGAACAGG
rnacentral:rRNA from 1 species